GCGCCAGUAGCUCAGCUGGAUAGAGCAACGGAUUUCUAAUCCGUAGGUCUGGGGUUCAAGUCCCUGCUGGCGUGCCA
rnacentral:tRNA from 2 species